rnacentral:rRNA from 1 species
AACGAACGCUGGCGGCAUGCCUAACACAUGCAAGUCGAACGAUUGCCUUCGGGUGAUAGUGGCGCACGGGUGCGUAACGCGUGGGAAUCUGCCCUUAGGUUCGGAAUAACAGCUGGAAACGGCUGCUAAUACCGGAUGAUAUCGCGAGAUCAAAGAUUUAUCGCCUGAGGAUGAGCCCGCGUUGGAUUAGGUAGUUGGUGGGGUAAAGGCCUACUAAGCCGACGAUCCAUAGCUGGUCUGAGAGGAUGAUCAGCCACACUGGGACUGAGACACGGCCCAGACUCCUACGGGAGGCAGCAGUGGGGAAUAUUGGACAAUGGGCGCAAGCCUGAUCCAGCAAUGCCGCGUGAGUGAUGAAGGCCCUAGGGUUGUAAAGCUCUUUUACCCGGGAAGAUAAUGACUGUACCGGGAGAAUAAGCCCCGGCUAACUCCGUG